rnacentral:lncRNA from 1 species
UCCACUUCCAUACAAAAGUAUCGGCUCAACAACUGUUGAAUAAAGCUUCGUAUAAACGCCAUGUGUCAUUCCACCAGCAGCCACAACUUUACCGCACAAUGCACCUAAUGCUCUACUGGCUGAUUUUGACAGUUCUCUCGCGUUCUUCCGAAAUGUUAGAUGCUCGUCUAACCAUAUUCCAAGAUACUUGUAUGAAUCUAUUUUCAUUAUGUUGUGUCCA